UUGUUACAGCACCCCCAGGCAUAAAAGGGUUAAACCGCCAUUUAGAAGAUCUUCCCCAGAGAUACAGGCACAGCUACUGCAGAACACCAAACUCUCGAACUGAAUACAAGGGAAUGCUCCAAACUCCCGAACUGCAUACAAAGUAGCACUCCAAACUCCCGAACUGGAACCUCACGAAUAGCUGCUAGCAGACGAACAGGAAAAGCACCCAAGCGGCUUACACUCCUGGCAAUCAGUCUCUAACAGCAUACAGUAAAUCCCCCCAAAGACGAGACAGAGCUCCGUGUUGAGGGUCAAGCAGUGGU